UAUUGGUCAAUGGGCGAUGGCCUGAACCAGCCAGGUAGCGUGAAGGCUGACUGCCCUAUGGGUUGUAAACUUCUUUUAUAAAGGAAUAAAGUCGGGUAUGCAUACCCGUUUGCAUGUACUUUAUGAAUAAGGAUCGGCUAACUCUGUCCCAGCAGCUGCGGUAAUACGGAGGAUCCGAGCGUUAUCCGGAUUUAUUGGGUUUAAAGGGAGCGUAGAUGGAUGUUUAAGUCAGUUGUGAAAGUUUGCGGCUCAACCGUAAAAUUGCAGUUGAUACUGGAUGUCUUGAGUGCAGUUGAGGCAGGCGGAAUUCGUGGUGUAGCGGUGAAAUGCUUAGAUAUCACGAAGAACACCGAUUGCGAAGGCAGCCUGCUAAGCUGCAACUGACAUCGAGGCUCGAAAGUGUGGGUAUCAAACAGG
rnacentral:rRNA from 1 species